rnacentral:lncRNA from 1 species
UUUAAGCAGCAGAACUUUACAAGAUUGCAAUGAGAUGGAGAGUCUGUUGAGAUUGCAUUACAACCCAUUUUCUUCUUCUACCUAAUAGUGCUUCCUUCUCUUCCCUUCUACAGGCAUUGUUCCCAAGAACACUCACCAAUUCAAUUCUUCUGUGCUAAUUCCCAUCUCAGAGUCUCCUUCCAAGGGACUCAACUUGCAACAAUGGCAGGGGUGGUCUAAGAAAACAGAUGUUCAUAUGGGAUUUUGAAGCUGCCACCCACCAGCCAGCCAGCAGUGAGGACCCUGAUCUUCAGAAGAAGGAGGGCAGUUGCCACAUAAUGGAAGAGAAGAAUGUGAUGGCAUCCUGGUGAUCCACUAGGGUGCCUCUUUACUUUCCCUUGCUCAUCCUGAUGAUAAAAGGAUAAAUGCAACAGUCAUGCUUAAGAAGGGUAUGGAGAUCAGGAACUCAGAGGUCUCAGGAAUAAGGAUCCAAGUCAUGCCAACAGGAAAAGAGGUCCAACACAAUUUUGGAGGAACUCUUCCCAGAAUUUACAUGGAGAAGUGGAUUUGGGCAGUGCAAAUGGCGGACCAUAGUGGAAGCUGUGAUGUGCCACUCUGGCCCCUUUAAGACUGAAGGACUUAUUUCUCCAGCUAUUGAGGGCACUAUUGGCUACAGGUCUCAGUAAUUACCCUAGGUUGGAGAGUUCUGCCUUCCACAGACUCAUGCCUCCUCCCUAGGGCAACCCAGAUCCAAUAACUGGUCAGUGUGUAAUAUUAAGACCCAGACUCCUCAACUUAUCUCAGGACAACAUUAAAGGGCGUCACAGCUUCCGGGUCCCCAAAGGGUUGGCCUAGUCUUUGUUGAAACUACGUCACAGCCCAAUUUCUUCCUCUGUCCCAUACUGACUGCUUCUUUCUCUUCCUUUCCACAAUGGUGAUCCCAAGAGUGCUCCCUACAAAACUUCCCUCACGCUAGUCUCCAUCCCAGAGUCUGUUUCCCAGGAAACCCAUCCUUCAACAAGAAUAUUAUAGAAACACCUGAUGAAAUUUGAAUAUAGACUCUUGAUUAGAUAAUGGGAUUGUAUCAGUGUUAAAUUUCCUGAUUUUUGACCAUAUACAGUGUUUUGGUUUUUUUCAAAGAUUUAAAAAUUUUUUUUUUCCUUUCUCUCCCAAAGCCCCCCGGUACAUAGUUGUGUAUUUUCUAGUUGUGGGUCCUUCUAGUUGUGGUACGUGGGACACUGCCCCAGCACAGCCCGAUGAGCAGUGCCAUGUCUGCGCCCAGGACUCGAACCAGCAAAACCCUGGGCUGCCUAAGCAGAGCACGGGAGCUCAACCACUCAGCCACAGGGCUGGCCUCCCAUAUGCAGUGUUUAUAUAAGAGAAUGCCUUUGUUCUUAGGAAACACACACUGGCGUAUACAGGGAUAAAGGCACACAAUAUCUACAACUUAAUCUCAACUGAUUUAGAAAAAAAUGUACAUGGAGAGGUGGAGGAUCAGAGAGAGAAAGAAGAAACUAGGGCAAAAUGUAAACAAUUAGUGAAUCUGGG